rnacentral:lncRNA from 1 species
AGAAAAUCAUGGAAAAAAUAUUCUAGAAAGCUUCAGAUAAGCCAAAAAUCAUGAAGAAGGAUCCUAAUCAACAAAAGAGAAAAGAACCCUAGCCCUUUUCCAUAAAGAUGACGGCUGCCAAAUAGGUUGAGGAUCAUUUUCUUCAUCCUGAUGCCGCACAGAGCUUUAGCGGCAGAUUUCACACUCUCUUUUCAUCUUCUUCCUUCUCUUUGAUCAUUAAAAAUACUCUUUUGUAUUGAA